GAUGAACGCUGGCGGCCUGCCUAAUACAUGCAAGUCGAGCGAACAGAUGAGGAGCUUGCUCCUCUGACGUUAGCGGCGGACGGGUGAGUAACACGUGGAUAACCUACCUAUAAGACUGGGAUAACUACGGGAAACCGGAGCUAAUACCGGAUAAUAUAUUGAACCGCAUGGUUCAAUAGUGAAGGACGGUUUUGCUGUCACUUAUAGAUGGAUCCGCGCCGCAUUAGCUAGUUGGUAAGGUAACGGCUUACCAAGGCAACGAUGCGUAGCCGACCUGAGAGGGUGAUCGGCUACACUGGAACUGAGACACGGUCCAGACUCCUACGGGAGGCAGCAGUAGGGAAUCUUCCGCAAAGGGCGAAAGCCUGACGGAGCAACGCCGCGUGAGUGAUGAAGGUCUUCGGAUCGUAAAACUCUGUUAUUAGGGAAGAACAAAUGUGUAAGUAACUAUGCACGUCUUGACGGUACCUAAUCAGAAAGCCACGGCUAACUACGUG
rnacentral:rRNA from 1 species